rnacentral:rRNA from 1 species
CCUACGGGAGGCAGCAGUGAGGAAUAUUGGUCAAUGGGCGAGAGCCUGAACCAGCCAAGUCGCGUGAGGGAGUACUGCCCUAUGGGUUGUAAACCUCUUUUGUCGGGGAGCAAAAGCCGGACGUGUCCGGCUGUGAGAGUACCCGAAGAAAAUGCAUCGGCUAACUCCGUGCAAGCAGCCGCGGUAAUACGGAGGAUGCGAGCGUUAUACGGAUGUAGUGGGUUUAAAGGGUGCGCAGGCGGCUUUUUAAGUCAGCGGUCAAAUCUAGGGGCUCAACCCCAUCCAGCCGUUGAAACUGGGGAUCUAGAGUGUGCGAGAGGUAUGCGGAAUGCGUGGUGUAGCGGUGACAUGCAUAGAUAUCACGCAGAACCCCGAUUGCGAAGGCAGCAUACCGGUGCACAACUGACGCUCAGGCACGAAAGCGUGGGUAUCGAACAGGAUUAGAUACCCAGUAGUC